ACAGAUUUUAACAGUAAAAUCAGGAGAAGAAGAUUAUCGUGAUACAUCUCACCUGCUAAGACAGGCCUCACCUUAUAUGGAAAUCAAGUUUAAUAAUGCUGAAGACCCUUCAAAUAUUCCGAACAAAAGGCAAAUCCAGUCUUUGUCUAGAACUGAGCAGCGCAAAAGAAUGAAAUUAACCGGUUCUGAGUCUUGCGUGCGGCACAAAGAAUCUACAAGGUGGAAUUAAGUAGUGGUUCAAAACCGUGUAAUGUUGACACUGCAGAUGGAGAGAGAAACCAUCAGAUUAUGCAGAGUUUUGCUAAAGCUAUAUGGAAUGUUUUGAAGGAUUACAACAAAAAACUAAAGUACGUGGUCCAGGCAGAGCUGGUAUAUGCACCACACCAUUGCAUUCCCACUUGGUUAAUGUGGGGUUUGCUAAACUGUAGCAUCUUCCAUAUAACAGGAAAGUGACUAAACUGUAUUCCAGGUUGCAGAUGAACUUGUAGCAGAGUUUUCUGACCCUAUCAAUGGUGUCACAUCCCCUGAUCAAAUUGACGAGGUGCGCAUUGAAGUGGCUGAUUAUAUACAGAGUUUGAUGUAGAAAUGUGACUGCCAAGAUGUUUUUUGAGUAAGGCUAGCUAGUUUUGGCUUUGAAGCAAAGCUUGGUGUGGAGCUUUUGUACAUUGUUGCUCAUAUGUUUUCAAGCUAGCUUUUGUAAGUUUAGGGGUUUAUUUUGUGAAUUAUGUUGAAUCAUGAAUUUGGAAAGAAAAUUAAUGGGAA